AGAGUUUGAUCCUGGCUCAGAUUGAACGCUGGCGGCAGGCUUAACACAUGCAAGUCGAGCGGAGAUGAGGUGCUUGCACCUUAUCUUAGCGGCGGACGGGUGAGUAAUGCUUAGGAAUCUGCCUAUUAGUGGGGGACAACAUUCCGAAAGGAAUGCUAAUACCGCAUACGUCCUACGGGAGAAAGCAGGGGAUCUUCGGACCUUGCGCUAAUAGAUGAGCCUAAGUCGGAUUAGCUAGUUGGUGGGGUAAAGGCCUACCAAGGCGACGAUCUGUAGCGGGUCUGAGAGGAUGAUCCGCCACACUGGGACUGAGACACGGCCCAGACUCCUACGGGAGGCAGCAGUGGGGAAUAUUGGACAAUGGGGGGAACCCUGAUCCAGCCAUGCCGCGUGUGUGAAGAAGGCCUUAUGGUUGUAAAGCGCUUUAAGCGAGGAGGAGGCUACUGAGACUAAUACUCUUGGAUAGUGGACGUUACUCGCAGAAUAAGCACCGGCUAACUCUGUGCCAGCAGCCGCGGUAAUACAGAGGGUGCGAGCGCUAAUCGGAAUUACUGGGCGUAAAGCGCACGCAGGCGGUUGGAUAAGUUAGAUGUGAAAGCC
rnacentral:rRNA from 1 species